CUACGGGUUGCAGCAGUGGGGAAUAUUGGACAAUGGGGGAAACCCUGAUCCAGCAAUGCCGCGUGUGUGAAGAAGGCCUGCGGGUUGUAAAGCACUUUCGGUUGGGAGGACUGCUUCUAGCACUAAUAUUGUUGGAAGUUGACGUUACCUUCAGAAGAAGCACCGGCUAACUCCGUGCCAGCAGCCGGCGGUAAUACGGAGGGUGCAAGCGUUAAUCGGAAUUACUGGGCGUAAAGCGCGCGUAGGCGGCUAGAUCAGUCGGGUGUGAAAGCCCCGGGCUUAACCUGGGAACUGCAUCCCGAUACUGUCUAGCUUGAGUACAGGAGAGGAGAGUGGAAUUCCACAUGUAGCGGUGAAAUGCGUAGAUAUGUGGAGGAACACCAAUGGCGAAGGCAGCUCUCUGGCCUGAUACUGACGCUGAGGUGCGAAAGCGUGGGGAGCAAACAGGAUUAGAUACCCUCGUAGUC
rnacentral:rRNA from 1 species